rnacentral:rRNA from 1 species
CACGGGGGGAGCAAGCGUUGUUCGGAAUUAUUGGGCGUAAAGAGCGUGUAGGCGGCCAGGUAGGUCCGCUGUGAAAACUCGAGGCUCAACCUCGAGAUGUCGGCGGAAACCAUCUGGCUAGAGUCCGGAAGAGGAGAGUGGAAUUCCUGGUGUAGCGGUGAAAUGCGCAGAUAUCAGGAAGAACACCCGUGGCGAAGGCGGCUCUCUGGGACGGUACUGACGCUGAGACGCGAAAGCGUGGGGAGCGAACAGG